rnacentral:rRNA from 1 species
GAUGAACGCUGGCGGCGUGCCUAAUACAUGCAAGUCGGGCGAACGGACGAGAAGCUUGCUUCUCUGAUGUUAGCGGCGGACGGGUGAGUAACACGUGGAUAACCUACCUAUAAGACUGGGAUAACUUCGGGAAACCGUAGCUAAUACCGGAUAAUAUUUUGAACCGCAUGGUUCAAAAGUGAAAGACGGUCUUGCUGUCACUUAUAGAUGGAUCCGCGCUGCAUUAGCUAGUUGGUAAGGUAACGGCUUACCAAGGCAACGAUGCAUAGCCGACCUGAGAGGGUGAUCGGCCACACUGGAACUGAGACACGGUCCAGACUCCUACGGGAGGCAGCAGUAGGGAAUCUUCCGCAAUGGGCGAAAGCCUGACGGAGCAACGCCGCGUGAGUGAUGAAGGUCUUCGGAUCGUAAAACUCUGUUAUUAGGGAAGAACAAAUGUGUAAGUAACUGUGCACAUCUUGACGGUACCUAAUCAGAAAGCCACGGCUAACUACGUG